CUAAGGACAAAGGGGUGCUCACCGCACAUGAUGGUGAGCUGAGAUGAUACCCUCAAGACCUGACCCAGAUCAUGCUGGCGUAGGGAUUGUUCAUCGACCAUUA
rnacentral:ncRNA from 2 species